rnacentral:tRNA from 1 species
GCAGUAGCUCAGUUGGUACAGCAUGAGAUUCUUAAUCUCAGGGUUGUGGGUUUGAGUCCCAGUUUAGGCA